rnacentral:rRNA from 1 species
UGGCUCAGAACAAACGCUGGCGGCGUGCCUAACACAUGCAAGUCGUACGAGAAAGUCCGCUUCGGUGGAUGAGUAAAGUGGCGCACGGGUGAGUAACGCGUGGAUAAUCUACCCUUUAGUCUGGAAUAACUUAUCGAAAGGUGAACUAAUACCGGAUAAUAUCCCGAUUUCUUCGGCGAUCGGGAUCAAAGAAGGCCUCUGCUUGCAAGCUUUCACUGAAGGAUGAGUCCGCGUACCAUUAGCUAGUUGGCAGGGUAAUGGCCUACCAAGGUUAUGAUGGUUAGCUGGUCUGAGAGGAUGAUCAGCCACACUGGAACUGAAACACGGUCCAGACUCCUACGGGAGGCAGCAGUGAGGAAUAUUGCGCAAUGGGGGCAACCCUGACGCAGCAACGCCGCGUGAGUGAGGAAGGUUUUCGGAUUGUAAAGCUCUGUCGAGCGGAAAGAAGUGCAUGGUGGUUAAUAUCCAUCAUGCUUGACGGUACCGCUAAAGGAAGCACCGGCUAACUCCGUGCCAGCAGCCGCGGUAAUACGGGGGGUGCAAGCGUUGUUCGGAAUCAUUGGGCGUAAAGCGCGUGUAGGCGGCUGGACAAGUCAGAUGUGAAAGCCCUGGGCUUAACCCAGGAAGUGCAUUUGAAACUGUUCAGCUAGAGUAAGGGAGAGGA